rnacentral:rRNA from 1 species
UUCGUCGUAGCAUUAUCAUGCUAGUCGCCGGCAGCAUGAUCUAGCUUGCUAGAUUGAUGGCGAGUGGCGAACGGGUGAGUAAUACAUCGGAACGUGCCCUGUAGUGGGGGAUAACUAGUCGAAAGAUUAGCUAAUACCGCAUACGACCUGAGGGUGAAAGUGGGGGACCGCAAGGCCUCAUGCUAUAGGAGCGGCCGAUGUCUGAUUAGCUAGUUGGUGAGGUAAAGGCUCACCAAGGCGACGAUCAGUAGCUGGUCUGAGAGGCGUCCAGCUCUGCUGGGACUGAGACACGGCCCAGACUCCUACGGGAGGCAGCAGUGGGGAAUUUUGGACAAUGGGCGAAAGCCUGAUCCAGCAAUGCCGCGUAUGUGAAGAAGGCCUUCGGGUUGUAAAGCACUUUUGUCCGGAAAGAAAUGGCUCUGGUUAAUACCUGGGGUCGAUGACGGUACCGGAAGAAUAAGGACCGGCUAACUACGUGCCAGCAGCCGCGGUAAUACGUAGGGUCCAAGCGUUAAUCGGAAUUACUGGGCGUAAAGCGUGCGCAGGCGGUUGUGCAAGACCGAUGUGAAAUCCCCGAGCUUAACUUGGGAAUUGCAUUGGUGACUGCACGGCUAGAGUGUGUCAGAGGGGGGUAGAAUUCCACGUGUAGCAGUGAAAUGCGUAGAGAUGUGGAGGAAUACCGAUGGCGAAGGCAGCCCCCUGGGAUAACACUGACGCUCAUGCACGAAAGCGUGGGGAGCAAACAGGAUUAGAUACCCUGGUAGUCCACGCCCUAAACGAUGUCAACUAGUUGUUGGGGAUUCAUUUCCUUAGUAACGUAGCUAACGCGUGAAGUUGACCGCCUGGGGAGUACGGUCGCAAGAUUAAACUCAGAGAUUUAGUAUGGAGAGAGA